rnacentral:rRNA from 1 species
AUUGAACGCUGGCGGCAGGCCUAACACAUGCAAGUCGAACGAGUGGCGGACGGGUGAGUAAUGUCUGGGAAACUGCCUGAUGGAGGGGGAUAACUACUGGAAACGGUAGCUAAUACCGCAUACCAUCAGAUGUGCCCAGAUGGGCUUAGCUAGUUGGUGGGGUAACGGCUCACCAAGGCGACGAUCCCUAGCUGGUCUGAGAGGAUGACCACCAACACGGGAACUGGGCCACGGCCCAGCCCCCUACGGGGGUCAGCGGUGGGGAUUUUUGCACAAUGGCGCAAGCCUGAUGCAGCCAUGCCGCGUGUAUGAAGAAGGCCUUCGGGUUGUAAAGUACUUUCAGCGGGGAGGCGUUACCCGCAGAAGAAGCACCGGCUAACUCCGUGCCAGCCGCCGCGGUAAUUC